UUAGAGUUUGAUCCUGGCUCAGAUUGAACGCUGGCGGCAGGCCUAACACAUGCAAGUCGAACGGUAACAUUUCUAGCUUGCUAGAAGAUGACGAGUGGCGGACGGGUGAGUAAUGCUUGGGAACUUGCCUUUGCGAGGGGGAUAACAGUUGGAAACGACUGCUAAUACCGCAUAAUGUCUUCGGACCAAACGGGGCUUCGGCUCCGGCGCAAAGAGAGGCCCAAGUGAGAUUAGCUAGUUGGUAAGGUAACGGCUUACCAAGGCGACGAUCUCUAGCUGUUCUGAGAGGAAGAUCAGCCACACUGGGACUGAGACACGGCCCAGACUCCUACGGGAGGCAGCAGUGGGGAAUAUUGCACAAUGGGGGAAACCCUGAUGCAGCCAUGCCGCGUGUGUGAAGAAGGCCUUCGGGUUGUAAAGCACUUUCAGUUGUGAGGAAAAGUUAGUAGUUAAACCU
rnacentral:rRNA from 1 species